rnacentral:rRNA from 1 species
GACGAACGCUGGCGGCGUGCUUAAUACAUGCAAGUCAACUUGACUUUAGAUAGCAAUAUCGAAAAGUAGGGUGGCGCACGGGUGCGUAACGCGUAGGGUAAUCUGCCCUGAGGUCUGACAUAACCCGUCGAAAGGCGGGCUAACAUCAGAUGAUAUAUAAUCACGACAUCGUGGAAAUAUCAAAUCUUCGGAGCCUUGGGAUGAGCCUGCGUCUGAUUAGGUAGUUGGCGGAGUAAUAGCCCACCAAGCCUACGAUCAGUAGCUGGUCUGAGAGGAUGAUCAGCCACACUGGAACUGAGACACGGUCCAGACCUCCGUACGGGAGGCAGCAAGGUAAGGAAUUAUUGCUACAAGGUACGGGGGAAACCCU